GCUGGUAAGACUCCAUUGCGUAUACAUUUGCUGGAUCCUGGGAAAUUGUUGCGGAAUGUAUGGGGGAAUUCAGAAGAAGGGAGCCACGGAGUGAAAUUGGAUAUUUUGAAGAAGCAGCAGGGAGGGAGAGAGGCUCUGUGUGUGUGCGAGUGCGCACCUUUGGAUAGGCUGUAAAAUAAGAACUCGGUCAGACACAGGCGCAGGGACGGUGACUGGAGACGCGGCACAAGGGGGGUUUGGACAGACUUAACGCCAGAAACAAUACGGCCAACGAGCAAAUGGGAUCAUCGACGAGUUGUACUCUCAUCUUUUAGACGUGGAUCUGCUCUCUAGAGCUGAAGGUGUCUCAUUGGCCGGGCCAGAGGCUGCAACACAGGACAUGGGUCCUGCCUCUUCCUACCACUCGUGUCUUGUGUUGCAGCCAGUGGAGCUGCCUGCUUUGACUGUCCGCCGCUCUGUCUGCCCUGCUGAUGUUGGACUGAGCCCCUGGAAUGGAGGAAUUGUGUCAGUCAUGGACUUCCUGACCCAGAUCCUCACUUUGCAGCUGCCCUGAGUGAAGCUACAGUCAUUUUACUCAGUUUUUAAUCAAUAUGUUGCCUUCUCACAUGAGGCAAUGAAGGCCUUUAGAUGAAAUGUCAUCUGUUGUAUUUUUGGUAAUAAAAGUGCCCUAAAAGUAUCAUUUGUUUUACUUAUGAUGGGAUCUGCUCUUUUUGUCAGCUUAAUUCUAACAUAUAACGCACCCUCCACAACUAUUGGCAUUUCUGGUAAUGACAUGUAAAAAGUCUUGUAAUGGUAUUUAUAUUUUAAUGAAAAAAUGUAUUCAACUUUUGAUUAAUUUAACUUUACUUAGUAAAGGCACAUUAAAGGCUAAGAAAAAAUUGUUUUAACAAAGUUGUGCCCUUAUUGUUGGUACUAGGCAUCCAUUAUCAGAAUAUACAAAGGUUUUUAAAACUCAAGACUUUCUCUUGUUAGUUUUUUUUGUAUCUAUUUUAAAACGUCAAACUCUAGCAUGCGGUCCUUAUCCUUAGGAAUCUAUGUUUUAGUACUUGAAUUCACAAAUGUUUGACUCUUUUUGUGUAUUUAAUAAAAGCCUAAUUUAACCAUGA